rnacentral:rRNA from 1 species
CGGUCUUGCUGUCACUUAUAGAUGGAUCCGCGCUGCAUUAGCUAGUUGGUAAGGUAACGGCUUACCAAGGCAACGAUGCAUAGCCGACCUGAGAGGGUGAUCGGCCACACUGGAACUGAGACACGGUCCAGACUCCUACGGGAGGCAGCAGUAGGGAAUCUUCCGCAAUGGGCGAAAGCCUGACGGAGCAACGCCGCGUGAGUGAUGAAGGUCUUCGGAUCGUAAAACUCUGUUAUUAGGGAAGAACAUAUGUGUAAGUAACUGUGCACAUCUUGACGGUACCUAAUCAGAAAGCCACGGCUAACUACGUGCCAGCAGCCGCGGUAAUACGUAGGUGGCAAGCGUUAUCCGGAAUUAUUGGGCGUAAAGCGCGCGUAGGCGGUUUUUUAAGUCUGAUGUGAAAGCCCACGGCUCAACCGUGGAGGGUCAUUGGAAACUGGAAAACUUGAGUGCAGAAGAGGAAAGUGGAAUUCCAUGUGUAGCGGUGAAAUGCGCAGAGAUAUGGAGGAACACCAGUGGCGAAGGCGACUUUCUGGUCUGUAACUGACGCUGAUGUGCGAAAGCGUGGGGAUCAAACAGGAUUAGAUACCCUGGUAGUCCACGCCGUAAACGAUGAGUGCUAAGUGUUAGGGGGUUUCCGCCCCUUAGUGCUGCAGCUAACGCAUUAAGCACUCCGCCUGGGGAGUACGACCGCAAGGUUGAAACUCAAAGGAAUUGACGGGGACCCGCACAAGCGGUGGAGCAUGUGGUUUAAUUCGAAGCAACGCGAAGAACCUUACCAAAUCUUGACAUCCUUUGACAACUCUAGAGAUAGAGCCUUCCCCUUCGGGGGACAAAGUGACAGGUGGUGCAUGGUUGUCGUCAGCUCGUGUCGUGAGAUGUUGGGUUAAGUCCCGCAACGAGCGCAACCCUUAAGCUUAGUUGCCAUCAUUAAGUUGGGCACUCUAAGUUGACUGCCGGUGACAAACCGGAGGAAGGUGGGGAUGACGUCAAAUCAUCAUGCCCCUUAUGAUUUGGGCUACACACGUGCUACAAUGGACAAUACAAAGGGCAGCGAAACCGCGAGGUCAAGCAAAUCCCAUAAAGUUGUUCUCAGUUCGGAUUGUAGUCUGCAACUCGACUACAUGAAGCUGGAAUCGCUAGUAAUCGUAGAUCAGCAUGCUACGGUGAAUACGUUCCCGGGUCUUGUACACACCGCCCGUCACACCACGAGAGUUUGUAACACCCGAAGCCGGUGGAGUAACCUUUUAGGAGCUAGCCGUCGAAGGUGGGACAAAUGAUUGGGGUGAAGUCGUAACAAGGUAGCCGUAUCGGAAGGUGCGGCUGGAUCACCUC